CUGUUACAGAGGACGAUGUUUUGCAGUGAAACAACCAGUUGUUUGGAGAUUUCUAUUUGGGAUAUCGUCCUGAUAUCUCUUUGAGAUGCUGCUUUUAGAACUGCACACAGCAUGAUCCAGCCUCCCAUUUAAGGGCCAGAGCAACCAUGACAGCAGGAUAAAGCAAAUGGGCUGGAGUCCUAAGGGGAGGAGUGCCACAGAGGUGGUCUGACAGCCUUUCAGUCUGGGACAGAACAGUCCUUCCUUCCUCUCUGUGAGCAGUCCAGUCCUGGGCUCUAGCAGUGGUGAUCGAAUACGUCCUGCUGAUCUGAGUGUGUCACACACACACUCACACCACUAUACCCACAGAGCUGCUGGGGACCUAAGGAAAAAGUGACAUUACUUAUUCAGGAAAAGUUUGGAAGCAUCACCUUUGAGAAGAAUUCUCUCUGGGGAAGAGGAAGAAUUGUUUGGCCAUGAAGACGGAGAAUAAAAAGCGGGUGUGUGAUUGAUGGGCUCAAAUCUCAAGGCUGCAGAGAGAAAGCCUCUUUUCGCACCUGUCCUCAGCUGAAAUAGUUUUACCUGCUGAAUUUUGGCACUUGCUAGGAGAUCUUCUAACUCAAGGGGAGAUUUCAAAAAGAAGUUAUAAACUCUAAAAUGAACUUAAGGAACAGCAGAAAGGAAUAGGUACUGUUAUAAAGAGUUUAAAUUCAGAAAAUAAAAUCCUAGAAAUUAAUCUCAGAAGACGUUGCCUCCUGGACCAGAAUUACCAUUUAUUUAAAAUGGAAAUCGUUCUUUAUUUUUUCACAAAAAAUAAUAUGUGAAAUAUGAUAUAAAUAUUGAAGUAAUAUUUAUAUUGCAUUUUCUUCUGCUCCCUUCCCUAAUCCCUUAAAAUCACUGAUCUGUACUCUAUCUCUUUAUAAUUGUCAUAUUGAGAAUAUCUUAUAUGUUGAAUUACAUAGUAGCAUAGUAGGUCAUCUUUUGAUGUUGGCUUUUCUCACCCAAAAUAAUGCCCUGGAGAGCCAUAAAAGUUGUUGUGUAUAUCAAUAGUUUGUUUUCCUGCUAUUGAGUGGCAUUUUGUUAAAUGAAGGUGCCACAAUUUGUUUACCCAUUCAGCUGUUAAAACAUAAUUCAGAUUAUUUCCAAUUUUUGACUAUUCCAAGUGAAUAGGAUAUAAACAUUUGUAUACAGGUUUUAAAGUAAAUAUAAGUUUUUAUAUCUCUAAGAUAAAUACCCAGGAGUGUGAUCGCUGUGUCAUUGGUAAGUUUAGCUUAAUUUUGUUUUAUUAAAAACCACCAAACUAUUUCCUAAUGUGUUUGUAUCAUUUUACAUUUCUGUCAACAAUGCAUAAGAGGUCUGAUUUCUCUGUAGUCUCCUUAGGAUUUGGUACUCUUAGUUGUUUUUAUUUUGUUUUGUUUUGUCAUUCUAAUAAGUGUAC
rnacentral:lncRNA from 1 species